AUUGAACGCUGGCGGCAGGCCUAACACAUGCAAGUCGAACGAGUGGCGGACGGGUGAGUAAUGUCUGGGAAACUGCCCGAUGGAGGGGGAUAACUACUGGAAACGGUAGCUAAUACCGCAUACCAUCGGAUGUGCCCAGAUGGGAUUAGCUAGUAGGUGGGGUAACGGCUCACCUAGGCGACGAUCCCUAGCUGGUCUGAGAGGAUGACCAGCAACACUGGAACUGAGACAGGGCCCUGACGCCUACGGAAGGCAGAAGUGGGGAAUAUGGCACAAGGGGGGCAAGCCGGAGGAAGCCAUGCCGGGUGUAUGAAGAAGGCCUUCGGGUUGUAAGGUACUUUCAGCGAGGAGGCGUUACUCACAGAAGAAGCACCGGCUAACUCCGUGCCAGCAGCCGCGGUAAUAC
rnacentral:rRNA from 1 species